rnacentral:rRNA from 1 species
GCAACGGAAACCAUAACGAGCAUCAUCUUGAUUAAGCUCAUUAGGGUUAGCCUCGGUACGGUCAGGCAUCCACGGCGCUUUAAAAUAGUUGUUAUAGAUAUUCAAAUAACCCUGAAACAAAUGCUUAGGGAUUUUAUUGGUAUCAGGGUUAAUCGUGCCAAGAAAAGCGGCAUGGUCAAUAUAACCAGUAGUGUUAACAGUCGGGAGAGGAGUGGCAUUAACACCAUCCUUCAUGAACUUAAUCCACUGUUCACCAUAAACGUGACGAUGAGGGACAUAAAAAGUAAAAAUGUCUACAGUAGAGUCAAUAGCAAGGCCACGACGCAAUGGAGAAAGACGGAGAGCGCCAACGGCGUCCAUCUCGAAGGAGUCGCCAGCGAU